GAUGAACGCUAGCGGCAGGCUUAAUACAUGCAAGUCGAGGGACUGCACAGGUAGCAAUACUGGGUGGUAACCGGCAAACGGCUGCGGAACACGUACACAACCUUCCUUUAAGUGAGGGAUAGCCCAGCGCUCUUUCGAUUCAUACCCCGUACUAUCGUUCAAUGGACUCAUUUGAUUAUUAUAGCUACGGCGCUUACUGAUGGGUGUGCGGCUGAUUAGAUAAUUGGCGGGGUAAGGGCCCACCAAGUCAACGCUCAGUAGCUGAUGUGAGAGCAUGAUCAGCCACACGGGCACAGAGACAAGGGCCCGACUAAUACGGGAGGCAGCAGUAAGGAAUAUUGGUCAAUGGGCGCAAGGCUGAACCAGACAUGCCGCGUGAAGGAUUAAGGUCCGCUGGAGUGUAAACUUCUUUUAUUUGGGACGAAAAAGGGCCUUGCUAGGUCAACUGACGGUAACAGAUGAAUAAGCACUGGCUAACUCCGUGCCAGCCGCCGCGGUAACAC
rnacentral:rRNA from 1 species